GCAAGUCGAACGUGAAAGCUCCUUCGGGAGUGAGUAGAGUGGCGAACGGGUGAGUAACGCGUAGGAAUCUACCCAAGAGUGGGGGACAACCCGGAGAAAUCCGGGCUAAUACCGCAUACGCCCUACGGGGUAAAGUGGGGGACCUUUAGGGGCCUCACGCUUUUGGAUGAGCCUGCGUCGGAUUAGCUAGUUGGUAGGGUAACGGCCUACCAAGGCGACGAUCCGUAGCUGGUCUGAGAGGAUGACC
rnacentral:rRNA from 1 species